rnacentral:lncRNA from 1 species
GAGAUAAAGAUACUUGCUUAAAUUUUAAAUUUUAGUCCUGUUGCGUAUUGUCGCACCUGUCCUACCCCCCGGGCCAAUGGCCCACUCAUCCUGAUCCACGUGGCGUUCCUGCCGAGGUAGCACAUAUUGCCGAGGUGGGCUACAUCCGACCUUCUUCGAGCUGAGGUCCAUCCACCGAGGCUCCACGAUCCGACGUACUCUGCCGAAGUCCAACUACCGAGCCCCAUGUCCCAAAG